rnacentral:lncRNA from 1 species
ACACAUAUUAUAGAAAUUCACAAAAACAUCUGUUAUUAUUUUACUAACUAGGUUUGUGCAUAAUUUCGUGUAUUUCUGUAUAAUUUCAUACAUUUUUGGAUGCAUAAACAGACAAACAUAUGUAUAGAAUUUGUACAAAUGCACUAUUGAAGCUACUGGAGUCAAUAAGCCUUGGAUUUUGGAAACUGUGGGUUGUCAAAGAAGAUUCAAGCGGCCAAUUGUCUAGAACUAGUGCUUCCUCGAUUAACUUUGCAAUGAACGAAACAUUUGAACAAAUAUCAUAGAUGUUUCAAUCUCAAGUUUGUAUCUCUGCAGAAGAAGAUCUACAUAUUGCAGUGAAUGUGAAGGUAUGCAAGGAAUCAUUGAAAUGAAUUGAGAAGGGAAGGGGUCGACCUUAUUAGUAGCUAUUAGUAGUAGUAGUUAUUACAUAAUCUUUUGUAUGAGGUUGAAUUAUUUUGAGCAAAGGCAC